GGUUCUUGCGAUCUGAACACCAUGAUAUGGAGAAAGCUCUGAUUGGCUUAUUUAUUUUUCAUUUUUGUUAUCUAUCAUACGAUUGGUUGUACUUGUGCAUGUUUUAAACCGGAAGUCUUAUCUAUGACUAAAAGUCAGUCUGAUGACGGAAUCAAUAUCCGGACUUCUUUUUUGUCGUUUUUCUCACAAAAUAAUUCAAUCUGAAUAAUCAUAAGAAUGGAUGACAAAUGCGACUAUGCAUGUUACCUAUAGAACACAGAGGCAUGACGAUUAA
rnacentral:lncRNA from 1 species